rnacentral:rRNA from 1 species
UACGUAGGUGGCAAGCGUUGUCCGGAUUUACUGGGCGUAAAGAGCGCGCAGGCGGUCGUUCAAGUCGCGUGUGAAAGCCCCCGGCUCAACUGGGGAGGGUCACGCGAUACUGAUCGACUGGAAGGCAGGAGAGGGUAGUGGAAUUCCCGGUGUAGUGGUGAAAUGCGUAGAUAUCGGGAGGAACACCGGUGGCGAAGGCGGGUCUCUGGGCCGAUAUUGACGCUGAGGAGCGAAAGCGUGGGGAGCGAACAGG